AUGUGUGUCGAUAAGGGGACUUGUAGCAGGAGCCGGGCGUUUCAAAGCCGUGGUUCCCACUUGCCAGCAGUUUCUCUUCUGGCUCCCGAUGGGUGGCCGCGUUUGGCAGCGGGCACCCCCGCCGGCUGGGACUCCUCCACCAAGAUAUCUGCCUUCAGGGUCACUCUGGGACACUCUGAAGUCUUACGGCCUCGGAGACUGUUUCCUCCUACAGAGGUUCACCAUAUCAUGUUUCUACACAAAGAACAUCCUUCCUGGAAUGCUUCCCCUAAGGGAGGACAGCAAGGAAAAAUCUGGGAAAUGUAUGUGAAACACCAGCGUGUCUUUGCUUCAUUGAUCCUAAGGACAGUGCUAAGACAUCUUCAAAAAUUCAGUAAUUUUGGGAUCUGAGUUCCAGCUUAACAAUGGUUUUGCUAUCCUCAAAACAUGGAAAGUCAAAGAAUGUUUUUUGUUUGUUUGUUUCCCUUUUUUUUUUUUUUUUCCUUAUUUUCUGGCAGUGGAAAUGCUGGUUAAAUGUUUUUCAUUUGGUUGGGAAGAACAAGUAUUAGUCUUUUUCUCAACAGUCUUAUAUUCCCCUACCCUAUGUCAGCAUGAAGUCAGUGCAAGAUGUAGGUAUUACAAAAAUAACCUUUUUUCUUUUCCUGUGUUUGGAUCAUCUGUGGAUUAUAUCCCUGCAGCUGCGCAGUGUCCCCAAAAGUCCAUAAAGCUGCCCUUAAUGUUUCCCCAUGUAUAGAGUUUGGUUGCAGGGCCACAUUAAGAGUAAAUACAUAAAAAAUAAGGUUACAAGAGUAUGUACUAUCACUCUUCUAUGUAAUUUUAAUAGAAAACCGU
rnacentral:lncRNA from 1 species